rnacentral:rRNA from 1 species
CCUACGGGAGGCAGCAGUGGGGAAUAUUGCACAAUGGGGGGAACCCUGAUGCAGCGACGCCGCGUGGGUGAAGGAGUAUUUCGGUAUGUAAAGCCCUAUCAGCAGGGAAGAACAAUGACGGUACCUGACUAAGAAGCACCGGCUAAAUACGUGCCAGCAGCCGCGGUAAUACGUAUGGUGCAAGCGUUAUCCGGAUUUACUGGGUGUAAAGGGAGCGCAGGCGGCGCGUUAAGCCUGGUGUGAAAGUCCGCGGCCCAACCGCGGGACUGCAUUGGGAACUGGCGCGCUGGAGUGCCGGAGGGGUAGGCGGAAGUCCUAGUGUAGCGGUGAAAUGCGUAGAUAUUAAGAGGAACACCAGUGGCGAAGGCGGCCUACUGGACGGUGACUGACGCUGAGGCUCGAAAGCGUGGGGAGCAAACAGGAUUAGAUACCCCUGUAGUC